rnacentral:misc_RNA from 1 species
CCAAUAGCGUAUAUUAAAGUUGUUGCAGUUAAAAAGCUCGUAGUUGAACUUCGGGGUCUACCCAUUGGUCAGGCUUAAUUGUCUGCACUGGUGAGAUGGAUCUCUACCUUCUGAGGAACUUUCAUGCCAUUUAUUUGGUGUGAUGGGAAAUCAGGACUGUUACUUUGAAAAAAUUAGAGUGUUUAAAGCAGACUAUCGUCUGAAUACAUUAGCAUGGAAUAAUGAAAUAGGACGGACUGAUUCUAUUUCGUUGGUUUCUAGGAUCACCGUAAUGAUUAAUAGGGAUAGUUGGGGGCAUUAGUAUUCAAUUGUCAGAGGUGAAAUUCUUGGAUUUAUUGAAGACUAACUACUGCGAAAGCAUUUGCCAAGGAUGUUUUCAUUAAUCAAGAACGAAAGUUAGGGGAUCGAAGACGAUCAGAUACCGUCGUAGUCUUAACCAUAAACUAUGCUGACUAGGGAUCGGACGAAGUUAAUUUUAUAAUGACGCGUUCGGCACCUUACG